CAGGUGAGCGGGCAGCGGCCUAGAUCUGUGUCCCCCGGUACUCCACGAGCUUUUUUUGGAAAUCUCGUGCGGAUCUGUGGUGUUUGGUUGGUUGGGAAGCCAGGAAGGUUAGCCGUAGGCUUGAGAUCUCGAUUUCGUCUCCGUGAUCUGGAUGUUGCAAAUCUAGCCACAUCCUGCGUGACUAUGCGUGUAGAUUUACUUCCUGUGUGCAUCGGUAAUUCGGUUUCCUUUCCACUUGUGAGAUUCGUUGGUUCAAACUUGUGCUUGAUGUUUUUUUUAAAAAAAUAGUACUAGUUUGGUAGUUUGCUAGCUUAGUAGCUUUUGUGUGGAUUGCUAUAAUGCAGGGCUUGUUCUGACUGCUUAAAGUAGGUUUGUGAAUGCGUGGCUAGACCUGUGACUAAAUUUUUGCUACCAAUAUAGUUCUGGAAAUUAGUUGGAAAAUAUGAUAAUUGCAUGUAGAUUUGUAAUUUGAAGUACUAUUAUACGAUUUCAAGUUAUUAAAUUUAAACCUUCUUUUGUAAUAGUGCAUACAUAUGCUACACCCACCUCCGCCAGCAUUUAGCAUCAUUGUAUUAUCAUAAAACCAUAAUUUCCAGGUAGUAUUUAGUUGUGCUAGUCUAUUAGGUGAAUGCUUUUAAUCAUUAUACCAUUUUCUGUUCAGCUUUACUAAGGAAAGUAGUGACUCGACUCGUGAAUAGCUGAACAAGACUGAUCUCAGUAUGCUGGCGAAAAAAUGGUGAAUUAGAGUAAUCAAUCAUAUUAUCUUCCAUAUUUGCAUAUAAUUAUACUUUUUGCAGGUGGUAUUAAUGGAGAAAGAUCAGAAAUAGCUGAAAUUGAAGCAGCAUCAACAAGUGAAGCUGCUCGGCUUAGAGCUGCUCUCCGGCUUGCUCCACCCGGCGCUGUUCGGGAACCUUACCAGUCUUUUGAACGGCUUACACAGACCUGUUUUGAUAAGAGCCGAGCAGCGAUUCUUCAAUUUCGGACCACGACCUAGCUAAAGGCUAAUGGUUCCAAAUGUCUGAAGUACCGAAGACAGGGCUAGCUCCUUGUUUUUUUGUCAUGUCAAAUAAAUCGUGUAUGAUUGCAACAAUAUUGGCAAAAUAUCGUUGUGCUUUAUAUUUUGAUGUACUGUGAACAAAACAAGUGCCCUAUGAGACCAUCAUGAUUUAUGCAUUUUCAAACUAAAUUUUACGACA